UAGGGAAUCUUCCGCAAUGUGCGAAAGCCUGACGGAGCAACGCCGCGUGAGUGAUGAAGGUCUUCGGAUCGUAAAACUCUGUUAUUAGGGAAGAACAAAUGUGUAAGUAACUAUGCACGUCUUGACGGUACCUAAUCAGAACGCCACGGCUAACUACGUGCCAGCAGCCGCGGUAAUACGUAGGUGGCAAGCGUUAUCCGGAAUUAUUGGGCGUAAAGCGCGCGUAGGCGGUUUUUUAAGUCUGAUGUGAAAGCCCACGGCUCAACCGUGGAGGGUCAUUGGAAACUGGAAAACUUGAGUGCAGAAGAGGAAAGUGGAAUUCCAUGUGUAGCGGUGAAAUGCGCAGAGAUAUGGAGGAACACCAGUGGCGAAGGCGACUUUCUGGUCUGUAACUGACGCUGAUGUGCGAAAGCGUGGGGAUCAAACAGG
rnacentral:rRNA from 1 species